rnacentral:other from 1 species
GUAAUCCUGGGGUGUGCGCCAGCCGAGAAGUCCCUGAGCCGAUAAUUUUGCUAUGGCUUCUCUUUGUCAAAGCUGUUGAGCAAUUCCGUGCGUCGGAAAGCCUGAUGCGAUGCGAGGGUCGCCGACUUGAACCUUUCGGUUCAAGGCCACGUCGGCAGCGGCACUCUGGGUCUUGA